GACGAACGCUGGCGGCGUGCCUAAUACAUGCAAGUCGAGCGGACUUUAAGAGUGCUUGCACACUUAAAGUUAGCGGCGAACGGGUGAGUAACACGUAAAGAACCUACCUUAUAGACAGGGACAACUAUUGGAAACGAUAGCUAAUACCUGAUAAGAAAGAAACUCGCAUGAGAGAAAAUCGAAAGUCGGAGCAAUCUGACACUAUAAGAUGGCUUUGCGGUGCAUUAGCUAGUUGGUAGGGUAAAAGCCUACCAAGGCGACGAUGCAUAGCCGACCUGAGAGGGUGAUCGGCCACAUUGGGACUGAGACACGGCCCAGACUCCUACGGGAGGCAGCAGUAGGGAAUCUUCCGCAAUGGACGAAAGUCUGACGGAGCAACGCCGCGUGAGUGAAGAAGGAUUUCGGUUCGUAAAACUCUGUUGUUAGGGAAGAAAAAAUGUAUAGUAACUAUAUACAAAAGAGACGGUACCUAACCAGAAAGCCACGGCUAACUACGUGCCAGCAGCCGCGGUAAUACGUAGGUGGCAAGCGUUGUCCGGAAUUAUUGGGCGUAAAGCGCGCGCAGGUGGUUUAGAAAGUCUGAUGUGAAAGCCCACGGCUCAACCGUGGAGGGUCAUUGGAAACUAGUAAACUUGAGUGCAGGAGAGAAAAGUGGAAUUCCUAGUGUAGCGGUGAAAUGCGUAGAGAUUAGGAGGAACACCGGUGGCGAAAGCGGCUUUUUGGCCUGCAACUGACACUGAGGCGCGAAAGCGUGGGGAGCAAACAGG
rnacentral:rRNA from 1 species